UUUGGUGAACACUAGAUCGCUGAGUAAUAAAACUUCUAUUUCAAGGGAUUUAUUUAUGACCCAAGGACUGGAUUUCCUCUGUAUAACUGAGACAUGGUUGAGGGCCGGUGAGUCCAGCGUUUUCACAGAUCUCUUACCUGAUGACAGCUGCUUUUUAAACUCUCCUCGAAUAUCAGGCAGAGGAGGAGGACUAGCGGUUGUUUUUAAGAAGCAGUAUAAAUGUAAACCACUGCCCUUAUCAACAUUACGUAGUAGCUUUGAACUGAGUGUGUUUGAGCUGGGUCGCUCUCACACAGUGCUCUGUGCUGUGGUUUACAGACUCCGCAAAUACAAUAAGGACUUCUUAAAUGACUUUUCUGAUCUGUUGGCUGAAAUUAUGCCAAAAUACGAUCAUGUCCUUAUUAUUGGGGACUUCAAUAUUCACGUGUGCUGCCCUGACCAGCCAAUGGCAAAGGACUUUUUAAAUCUUAUUGACUCUUUUGAUCUUGUGCAACCUGUGUCUGUGCCUACACAAAAAUAUGGGCACACGUUGGAUCUUGUUUUAACUCAGUUUACCUGUCUCUAACUUAGAGCUAUGGUCGGAUCAUAAGCCUGUCUUGUUUGAGGUUUCCCUUCCUUGUACCAAAGUUAAUCUUCCUCCUGUUGUUGCUCGGUGCUGUCGUAUUUUUAAUCCUUCCUCUGCAGAUUCGCUGGCCCCCUUUAAGCUUAGGCAAGUUAAAGCCAAAUCUGAACCCUGGCUGAAUGGAGACCCCAGUGCUGCCAGAAGAAAGUGUAGGAGAGCUGAACGUAAAUGGAAGAAGGAUCAACUGCAGGUGGCAUACCAAAUAUUACAAAAUUACUGGAAUUCCUACCAGAAGACUGUAAAAGAUGCUAAGAGGAAACAUUUUGCUGCUAUUAUUCAUAUUAUCCUUCAUGUUCCACAGACUGUUGGUGUUGAGUCCUCUCAGGAAACUUGUGAAAACUUCCUACACUUCUUUAUUGAUAAAGUGCUCUCUGUGAAAGCGCAGAUUUCCCAGUCCGUUCUCGACCCUUCUACCCCUGUCCCUAGCUCUGCUGUCUUUGACAGGUUUGAGCCAGUUUCUUUGCUGUGCCUGCAGCAGUUGGUUGCUCAUCUGAAGCCCUCAGGUUCCCCUUAUGAUGCUCUCCCUCCUUGAUUUUUUUUCC